GGAAAUUUUGCCACAUCAUCGGACUAGUAUUAAAGUCUACGUCGAAUGUACAUAGUUUGGGCAACCAGAUCGUAGUUGUACUUGGACUGCUACACUACAUCAAACAUCGUGCAUUUUUUUCUCGUGCAAAAAGUGAAAAAUUAUUGCCGCGCGCGUGUAGCUAAGCUCCUCCUACUUUUGACCUAGUGACGUCAAGUAAAAACGGUCAACACCAAUGAUAGGCACUGAAUGUAUGUACAAACCGCAACUGACCUUUUAAUUUUAUGUUGACCGGUUCAAAAACUACGCUCUACUAUCACUUCUUAUGGUUUUUUAAGAAGAUACAUAUUUUGCGGUUUUCAUUUAUGUGACAUACAUCGUGAACGGUCGCAGUAACGCAGCCACCACCGCCACAAUCGGUAGGGGAUUGAUUCACCAGAGUCACAGCUCCACACUGCCAACUUGUUUCUAAAUAAUCUGCAUCAACGCAGGAUACUCAGUGAGGAUCAGGAGAUGCUCAUCCAAUUGUUUCGCAUCAGCUUGGAUAACCAACUGUUCAAUACGAACGGUGCUACCUAUUCCAAAAUUGUAGUCCUUUCUCGAUCCCUUUGCACAAUUAAUUCGCACCAUUUGCGCCACGGAUUGUUCGAUACCAAUGGUGCGCCUAAUUUAUU